rnacentral:rRNA from 1 species
GAAAUGCGAUACGUAAUGCGAAUUGCAAAACCUCGUGAAUCAUCAAAAUUUUGAACGCACAUUGCGCUUCCGGAAAAUGUCCGGUAGCAUACCUAACUGAGUGUCCGUGAACCCCACUCAACGAUGCAAUCAUUCGUGAUUGUGUCCGUUGGAAUAUGUCGUUGCUGGUUAUUUGAAUGACCAGCUACGAUGAAAUUAGUGUAUCCAAGGCACUUGUGUCUUUGUUAUCCUACGUUGUAUCGUUUCAUUUCGAUUUUCGACGUGGUGUUCUAUUAAGUUUAAGGGUUUAACUACUUGCAAACAUUUUGAGCAUUGUGUCUGGAGAUUAAUGUGUGAUUAAUGCGUACGUGAUUAACUAAUUACAUCCGGAUCUCAGAUUAAGUAAGAAGACCCGCUGAAUUUAAGCAUAUAAUUAAGCGGAGGAAAAGAAACUAACUAGGAUUCCCUC